GCUUUGAUUGUUUAGCCGAAGUCCAUAUGAGUCUUUGUCUUUGUAUCUUCUAACAAGGAAACACUACUUAGGCUUUUAGGAUAAGAUUGCAGUUUAAGUUCUUAUACUCAAUCAUACACAUGAGAUCAAGUCAUAUUCGAGUCCAAAACACUAACCAAGCUUCUUCUUGCUUCUCAAAGCUUUGUUGGUUUAGCCAAAGUCCAUAUAAGUCUUUGUCUUUGUAUCUUCUAACAAGGAAACACUACUUAGGCUUUUAGGAUAAGAUUGCGGUUUAAUUUCUUAUACUCAAUCAUACACAUGACAUCAAGUUAUAUUCGACUCCAAAACACUAACAAAGCUUCUUCUUGCUUCUCAAAGCUUUGAUGGUUUAGCCAAAGUCCAUAUAAGUCUUUAUCUUUGUAUCUUCUAACAAGAAAACACUACUUAGGCUUUUAGGAUAAGGUUGCGGUUUAAGUUGUUAAUGUCAAUCAUACAUAUGGCAUCAAGUCAUAUUCGACUCCAAAACACUAACCAAGCUUCUUCUUGCUUCUAAAAGCUUUGAUGGUUUAGCCAAAGUCCAUAUGAUUCUUUAUCUUUGUAUCUUCUAACAAGGAAACACUACUUAGACUUUUAGGAUAAGGUUGCGGUUUAAGUUGUUAAUGUCAAUCAUACAUAUGGCAUCAAGUCAUAUUCGACUCCAAAACACUAACCAAGCUUCUUCUUGCUUCUAAAAGCUUUGAUGGUUUAGUCGAAGUCCAUAUGAGUCUUUGUCUUUGUAUCUUCUAACAAGGAAACACUACUUAGGCUUUUAGGAUAUGGUUGCGGUUUAAGUUCUUAUACUCAAUCAUACACAUGACUUCAAGUCAUAUUCGACUCCAAAACACUAACCAAGCUUCUUCUGGCUUCUCAAAGCUUUGAUGGUUUUGCCGAAGUCCAUUUGAGUCUUUAUCGUUGUAACUUCUAACAAGGAGACACUACUUAGGCUUUUACUAUAAGGUU
rnacentral:sRNA from 1 species